rnacentral:misc_RNA from 1 species
AAGUCGUAACAAGGUUUCCGUAGGUGAACCUGCGGAAGGAUCAUUAACACGUAUCCAAACGUUAAAACCCCCCCCGUGAACCUUCAUCCUGCUCUUGUAACCCGCGUAGUUCGCAAUCUCUGAUAAAUCAUAGCCCGGAAAGUUGUAGUACCUCUGGCUACGUGCGAACAUUGGAACAAGUUUAAUGUGAAGCUCAAUGUAAUACAUUGGGUAAAAAAACCGAACAACUGUUAACAAUGGAUAUCUUGGUUCUC